rnacentral:hammerhead_ribozyme from 1 species
AUCCAGCUGAAGAGUCCCAUAUAGAACGAGACGCGAAUCCCGGAU